rnacentral:rRNA from 1 species
UACGUAGGGGGCAAGCGUUGUCCGGAAUUAUUGGGCGUAAAGAGCUCGUAGGCGGUCUGUCACGUCGGCUGUGAAAACCCGAGGCUCAACCUCGGGCCUGCAGUCGAUACGGGCAGACUAGAGUUCGGUAGGGGAGACUGGAAUUCCUGGUGUAGCGGUGAAAUGCGCAGAUAUCAGGAGGAACACCGGUGGCGAAGGCGGGUCUCUGGGCCGAAACUGACGCUGAGGAGCGAAAGCGUGGGGAGCGAACAGG